UCGUAAAACCGAGGUGCGAGGGCUGUCGCUGACCUUUUCGGUCGUGCACGCCCGAGCGCUCUCACACAAUCCAUCUCACCCCUUGUGCACCACCGCGUGGGUCCCUUUCUGGCUUGUCCGGAGGGGGGCUCGCGUUUUCACACAAACUUGAAGUAGUGUAGAAUGUCUUCCUUUGCGAUCACACGCAAUUAAUA
rnacentral:misc_RNA from 1 species